UACAGAGGGCCCGAGCGUUGUUCGGAUUCACUGGGCGUAAAGGGUGCGCAGGCGGUUUGGCAAGUUUGAUGUGAAAGCCCCGGGCUUAACCCGGGAAUGGCAUUGAAUACUGCUUGAACUGGAGGGUCGGAGGGGGGACUGGAAUUCUUGGUGUAGCAGUGAAAUGCGUAGAUAUCAAGAGGAACACCAGUGGCGAAGGCGAGUCCCUGGACGAUACCUGACACUGAGGCACGAAAGCCAAGGGAGCAAACAGG
rnacentral:rRNA from 1 species